UUUUUAGAAUCUAAUCCUAUCCUUCCAAGGGAUCAGCCAAGUAAGGAUCCUCUCCAAGAGAUAAGUAGCUCAUUGAUGGGUCCCCACCUAAACAUAAGCUUCAUAAGAGAGAGAAUCAAUUGGAACCUACCGGAAUCUAUGCUUCCAUUUGAGGAAACUGUGGGCCAUGAACUGUCCAAUGCCUUGCCAGAUGAGCAACAAAACAUGGAUAGUGGAUCUUCGGAUGUCGCAAGGGAGGGCUGAUUGGCAUGCCUGACAUUCAAGAAGACAUAUUUGCUGAUGUCUAAUUUGCAUCAAGGGCUUCUAUUCUGUUUAUGAUUUAGAAUUACAGGUUCCUAUGGAGAACAUAUACAGACCAUAGAGAAUA